UAGGAAUGAGGCGUACUAUAAUGCAGUCGAGCGAACUGAUUAGAACCUUGCUUCUAUGACUUUCGCGGCAGACGGGUGAAUAACACGUGGGCAACCUGCCUGUAACACUGGGAUAUCUUCGGGAAACCAAAUCUAAUACCGGAUAUGAUCUUCUCCUUCGUGGCAGAUGAUUGAAAGAUGGUUUCGGGUAUCUUUUACAUAUGGCCCCGCGGCGCAAUAUCUAUUUGGUGAGGUAGCGGCUCACCAGGGAAAAUAUGCAUACCCCACCUGAGAGGGUGAUCGGCCACUCUGGGACUGACACACGGCCCACACUCCUACGGGAGGCAGCAAUAGGGAAUCUUCCGCAGUGGAAAAAAGUCUGACAGAACAACCCCGCGUGAGUGAUGAAGGUUUUCAGGUCGUAAAACUCUGUUGUUAGGGAAGAACAAGUACGAGAGUAUGUGCUCGUACCUUGACGGUACCUACCCAAAAAGCCACGGCUAACUACGUGCCAGCACCCGCGAUAAUACAUAUGUGGCAAGCGUUAUCCAGAUUUAUUGGGCGUAGAGCGCGCGCAGGCGGUUUCUUAACUCAGAUGUGAAAGCCCACGGCUCACCCGUGGAGGGUCAGUGGACAGUGGAAAACUUGAGUGCAGAAGAGAAGAGCGGAACUCCACGUGUAGCGGAGAUGUGCGUAGAGAUGUGGAGGAACACCAGUGGCGAACGCGUCUUUGUGGUCUGUAUGUGACGCUGAGGCGCGAAAGCGUGGGAGAGCAAACGAUAUUAUAUACCGUGGUACUCCACGCCGUACACUAUGAGUGCUAAGUGUUAGAGGGUUUCCGCCCUUUUAGUGCUGCAGCUAACGCAUUACGCACUCCGCCGGGGGAGUACGGUCGCAAGACUGACACUCAAAGGAUGUGACGGGGGCCCGCACACGCGGUGAGAGCAUGUGUUAUAAUUCAAAGCAACGCGAAGACCCUCACCGGGUCGUGGAUCUCCCUCUGACCACCUCUAGAGAUAGACGCGUUCCCUUCGGGAGAACAGAGUGCACAGGGGGGGCAUGUUUCGCCCCACCGCUUCGUGUCGAGAGAUUGGUGGAUUAACCCCCCGCAACGGACGCACACCCUGUUGCUUUUUAGUUGCCCAUAUUUAGUGGACAUCUCAGAAGUGAACGGCCGAUGCAACACCGAAGAAGAGGUGGAGAGACUCAAAUCAACGCAGUCGCCCUGCAAUUGAGACUG
rnacentral:rRNA from 1 species